GUACCCACCCCUUCACGAUUACUUAGUCGGGUUAUUGAGAUCUGCCGGUUAGUGGUUCGUUUGGUUGUCGCGCAGUUGUGGAGAGCAAUCGUGUUGGUUCUUCGUAACUAUUUUCAGGCAGCUUAGUAGCAGACUGUUGUCAGAUUCAUAUCAUUCGACUUAUUUCCUUUAGCAGGUUGUCAUAUUGGUGUCUUUUAUUUAAUCCUGGUUAUCUGCAGCUAUAGGGAGUCCUAGGUGGAUUUAGAUUUGGGAUUGUGAUUUAUUGUUAUAUUUUAAGAGUUGGCACUUGAGUGCUCGAGUUUAUUUUAUAUUUCACUUAAAAUACUGGUUAUGGAAGAACUUAUUGGCAGAUGUUGUUAAUUUGUAACUAUUGGAAUUACAAAAGAGAUUCUAGUGUUUAUAUAUGUGUACAAAGAUAUUUUGAAUAAAUUGUUUGGAAAAUGAUUCUAUGAGGAAGAGGCUUGCCAGGCUAGGGUGGUAGUCUGUGCGCCGGUCACGGCUUAGGAUUUUGGGUCGUGACAAAGUUGGUAUCAGAGCUUUGGCUGUAGGUCCUAAUAGCUG